rnacentral:rRNA from 1 species
AUUGAACGCUAGCGGGAUGCCUUACACAUGCAAGUCGAACGGAGUGGCGAACGGGUGAGUAAUGUAUCGGAACGUGCCCAGUAGCGGGGGAUAACUACGCGAAAGCGUAGCUAAUACCGCAUACUAUUGGAGCGGCCGAUAUCGGAGUAGCUAGUUGGUGGGGUAACGGUUAACCAAGGCGACGAUCCGUAGCUGGUUUGAGGGGACGACCGUCCAAACGUGGACUGAGCGACGGCCCAGACUCCUAACGGAGGCAGAAUUGGGGAAUUUUGGACAAUGGGUGAAACCCUGAUCCAGACAUCCCGCGUGUGCGAUGAAGGCCUUCGGGUUGUAAAGCACUUUUGGCAGGAAAGCGGUACCUGCAGAAUAAGCACCGGCUAAAUACGUGCCAGCAGCCGCGGUAAUA